CAACAUGGCCACGGCGCGAGAAACUCUCGUGUCUCUCGUCGGUCUCGUCAGUGUCUCCUCGGGAGUCCGUACGUCUGUUCGUUCGUUCGUCGUGUUCUAUAAAAUUUUUACGCGUAACUUAAUUCGUAUCCUCAAUUCAUUUCGUUUUCGAACAUCGACGUAAUAAUACAUAUCCGGAUUAAAAGAGUUUUGUGUGAUACGUUGAGAAAAUAAAGGGAGGGAUUAAAAUAACGCGAUAAAGGAGAUAGAAAUAAACUUCGCCGUAAGAAUUACUAUCAAGAGUAAUAUCACAACCACUUACAAAAUCAGUAAACCACUAAACCAGUAAACCACCACCAGUACUAGCACCAGCACCAGCACCAGCACCAGUACCAGUACCAGCACCAGCACCAGCACCAGCACCAGCACCAGCACCACCGUCGUCUACGUCGUCGGUGUCGUCUACGUCGUCGUUGUCGUCGUCGUUGUCGUCAUCUUCGUCAUCGUCAUCGUCAUUAUUAUCACCAUCAUAUACGAAGGCGAGCGUCGAGGACGAAGAUGGCCGAGAGUAAAGGAGCGCUGAUUGCGAAGACAGUGCAAAAGCACGCGGGUAGAGCGAAAGAGAAGUUCCUUCAGAAUCUCGGGAAGGUCGACAGAACAGCGGACGACAUACUUGACGAGCACCUACAGAACUUCACGAGACAGCAAUAUUCCGCCAACAGGCUGCAAAAGGAGUUCAACAAUUACAUCAGGUGUGUUCGAGCCGUACAAGUGGCUUCGAAAACAUUGAUGGACUCGCUCAAUGAAAUCUACGAGAGUCAAUGGACUGGUCAUGAUCUUCUUUAUGUGCAAGCACAAAACUUGGAUAUGCUGUGGCAGGAUUUUACUCACAAACUUGCGGACCAAGUGCUCGUACCUCUCAAUACAUAUCAAAGCCAAUUCCCUGAGAUGAGAAAAAAAAUUGACAAACGUGGACGAAAAUUGGUGGACUAUGAUAGUCAAAGACACAAUUUCCAAUCGCUCCAAUGUAAUCUAAAGAAGAGAGAUGAAAUUAAAGUAUCACGAGGCAAGGAACUUUUGGAAGAAGCUAAACGUACAUACGAACAAUUAAACUCCGAACUUCACGACGAAUUGCCAGCUUUGUACGAUUCUCGUGUUUUAUUCCUUGUGACCAAUUUACAAACUUUAUUCGCUGCCGAACAAGUUUUUCAUGCCGAGAGUGCCAAGGUCUAUUCCGAAUUAGAGGCAAUCGUUGAUAAACUUGCCAAUGAAAGUCAGAGAGGAUCUUAUACGUUGAAAAAGAACACCGAACCCCAAUCUCCAAAAUCACCAAAUGCCAACUCAACUUUAAUAAUAAAUACACAACCAUCGCAAAACAACAUCUCAGCAGCUGUGGAGGACUCGGUACCACCAGCUAGAGAUACGUCGCCAACAACCCAAUUAAAUGGCAAUGCUAACAGCAAUGCUAAUAGCAAUGAUAAUUCUCUCAAUAAUCAAGAUGCUUCUCCGCAAAGUACAGUCGUACCUACCAAAUGUGUUGAAGAAUUAUAUGAUAUUCCAGUCGGGGCGACAACGGACAAUUUGCCACCUGGUGUUUUGUAUAGGGUCAAGACUACAUAUAAAUACAGUCAGGAAGACGUGGAUGAAUUGUCCUUUGACGUUGGUGAAAUAAUACGUGUUGUAAAAUAUGAUGACCCAGAAGAACAGGAAGAGGGCUGGUUAAUGGGUAUCAAAGAGGGUACAAAUGAAAAAGGAAUGUUUCCAGCAAACUUUACAAAGCCACUGUGAAAGCUUUUUCAGGUUUAUCCUUUAUUAUCAGAAUGCUCAUAGAAAUGUCAUCUUGAUAAUUUUAUAAGGUUUUCGUUGUCAAAGAUUCGUCGUCUCUAAUCGGUGUAUAUCAUUAUUAUACAUAUAUAUAUAUAUAUAUAUAUAUAUAUAUAUAUACACACACAUAAGUUAAGAGUGCAAUAACUUUUUUGCAUAAGCCAAAUUAUUGUAAGCGUAUCGAAUCGUGGACCAAGAGAAAACAAAAACAAAACAAAAAAUUGUGAACUUUGAUUCUUCAAUGCCAAAAGAGUUUUGGUUUAAGACUGUGAAGAAGAA